rnacentral:rRNA from 1 species
UACGUAGGGUGCAGGCGUUAAUCGGAAUUACUGGGCGUAAAGCGUGCGCAGGCGGUUUGCUAAGACAGGUGUGAAAUCCCCGGGCUUAACCUGGGAACUGCGCUUGUUACUGGCAGGCUUGAGUGUGGCAGAGGGGGUGGAAUUCCGACGUGUAGCGUGAAAUGCGUAGAGAUGUGGAGGAACACCGAUGGCGAAGGCCAGCCCCUGGGCUAACACUGACGCUCAUGCACGAAAGCGUGGGAGC